rnacentral:rRNA from 1 species
AGCGAACGCUGGCGGCAGGCCUAACACAUGCAAGUCGAACGAAGCCUUCGGGCUUAGUGGCGGACGGGUGAGUAACACGUGGGAACGUACCUUUUGGUUCGGAAUAACGCAGAGAAAUUUGCGCUAAUACCGAAUGAGCCCUUAGGGGGAAAGAUUUAUCGCCGAAAGAUCGGCCCGCGUUGGAUUAGGUAGUUGGUGUGGUAAAGGCGCACCAAGCCUACGAUCCAUAGCUGGUCUGAGAGGAUGAUCAGCCACACUGGGACUGAGACACAGCCCAGACUCCUACGGGAGGCAGCAGUGGGGAAUCUUGCGCAAUGGGCGAAAGCCUGACGCAGCCAUGCCGCGUGAAUGAUGAAGGUCUUAGGAUUGUAAAAUUCUUUUACCAGGGACGAUAAUGACGGUACCUGGAGAAAAAGCCCCGGCUAACUUCGUGCCAGCAGCCGCCGUAACAC